ACGAAAGCCUGGGGUGACGCCACGUGCUUCUUCACGUGGCUUGAGGACAAUGCCUGGUGCUGUUUGCAGAUGACAAACAGACGAAGAUGGAAGGAAGCACGUAAAGCUGAGGAUACACGAAGAUUUGCUGCCACCUAUAUACUGCUCUUUUCUGGGUUCACUGGGAAAAAAAGGGAGGAAUUCUAGAAUUAAGACAUACAUUUACAGUCACAAUUACUGCUCAACAAUGGAAGCCUGCAGCCUGUGAGUAACAACAGAACUUUUUGCAUAUCGUAAAAGAGAAUGAAGAAGUAAAACAAAUUGAAAG